UGUGGCGCUAAUACGCUUCCGUAGCUUUUGGCAAGAGACACACACUCAUUUCACGAUUGUAUCUAUACUUAUAAUCAAUGCACAUAAGUUAUGGACUAGUACUGCACCCGUGUUAACUAGCAUUGGGGGUCGCAUGUCAUUGUCCAGAUACAUUUGUACUAGCAAUAGUGUUUUUUUAUUGUAUUUUUUUGUGUGUGUGUUUUUUUGUUUUUUGUUUUUUUCUUUGAGGGGGGGGGGGCUGUAAAACUAUUUAAGUUUGGUGAACCUAUGGUCUAGUUUGUUAGGACAACAGUUGUGCGCUCGAAAAAAAAAUGCAGUUGCUAUUUUCAUCAACUAAGAUAAAUAUUGGGAUGCCCCUGACCACUAUUACAAUUUUUCAGUAAAAAAAAGAAUGUUGACACACAUCAUAUGCUAUGAGAAUUCAAAGACGAUUCAAGUAGAUCAAAUAAAAAUUUACCGAGCGUUCCGAGAAGGAUAAAGAGUAUUCUAAGGGUUGCAAGCGCAACAUGAGUUUAAGGGCUGUCAAUCCUUCUAAGAUUGCUACUAGAUACACUCUUAGCAGAUAAGAAUAAUCUUAGCACUAAGAUUGUGCCAAAACUAAUUUAUGACAGACUGAAUGCUUCGUUUUUAUCAACCAAGUUUCAUUAACCAUUUACACAAAAAAAAUAAGUUUGAAUGUUAACAACACAAAGAC
rnacentral:lncRNA from 1 species